AUUGAACGCUGGCGGCAGGCCUAACACAUGCAAGUCGAACGAGUGGCGGACGGGUGAGUAAUGUAUGGGAAACUGCCUGAUGGAGGGGGAUAACUACUGGACACGGUAACUAAUCCCGCAUAACCUGUGAUGUGCCCAUAUGGGAUUAGCUAGUAGGUGGGGUAACGGCUCACCUAGGCGACGAUCCCUAGCUGGUCUGAGAGGAUGACCGUCAACACUGGAAAGGAGACACGGUCCAGACGCCUACGGGAGGCAGCAGUGGGGAAUAUUGCACAAUGGGCGCAAGCCUGAUGCAGCCAUGCCGCGUGGAUGAAGAAGGCCUUCGGGUUGUAAAGUACUUUCAGCGGGGAGGCGUUACCCGCAGAAGAAGCACCGGCUAACUCCGUGCCAGCAGCCGCGGUAAGUC
rnacentral:rRNA from 1 species